GGGUUGUGAGGUUAAGCGACUAAGCGUACACGGUGGAUGCCCUGGCAGUCAGAGGCGAUGAAGGACGUGCUAAUCUGCGAUAAGCGUCGGUAAGGUGAUAUGAACCGUUAUAACCGGCGAUUUCCGAAUGGGGAAACCCAGUGUGUUUCGACACACUAUCAUUAACUGAAUCCAUAGGUUAAUGAGGCGAACCGGGGGAACUGAAACAUCUAAGUACCCCGAGGAAAAGAAAUCAACCGAGAUUCCCCCAGUAGCGGCGAGCGAACGGGGAGCAGCCCAGAGCCUGAAUCAGUGUGUGUGUUAGUGGAAGCGUCUGGAAAGGCGUGCGAUACAGGGUGACAGCCCCGUACACAAAAAUGCACAUGCUGUGAGCUCGAUGAGUAGGGCGGGACACGUGGUAUCCUGUCUGAAUAUGGGGGGACCAUCCUCCAAGGCUAAAUACUCCUGACUGACCGAUAGUGAACCAGUACCGUGAGGGAAAGGCGAAAAGAACCCCGGCGAGGGGAGUGAAAAAGAACCUGAAACCGUGUACGUACAAGCAGUGGGAGCACGCUUAGGCGUGUGACUGCGUACCUUUUGUAUAAUGGGUCAGCGACUUAUAUUCUGUAGCAAGGUUAACCGAAUAGGGGAGCCGAAGGGAAACCGAGUCUUAACUGGGCGUUAAGUUGCAGGGUAUAGACCCGAAACCCGGUGAUCUAGCCAUGGGCAGGUUGAAGGUUGGGUAACACUAACUGGAGGACCGAACCGACUAAUGUUGAAAAAUUAGCGGAUGACUUGUGGCUGGGGGUGAAAGGCCAAUCAAACCGGGAGAUAGCUGGUUCUCCCCGAAAGCUAUUUAGGUAGCGCCUCGUGAAUUCAUCUCCGGGGGUAGAGCACUGUUUCGGCAAGGGGGUCAUCCCGACUUACCAACCCGAUGCAAACUGCGAAUACCGGAGAAUGUUAUCACGGGAGACACACGGCGGGUGCUAACGUCCGUCGUGAAGAGGGAAACAACCCAGACCGCCAGCUAAGGUCCCAAAGUCAUGGUUAAGUGGGAAACGAUGUGGGAAGGCCCAGACAGCCAGGAUGUUGGCUUAGAAGCAGCCAUCAUUUAAAGAAAGCGUAAUAGCUCACUGGUCGAGUCGGCCUGCGCGGAAGAUGUAACGGGGCUAAACCAUGCACCGAAGCUGCGGCAGCGACGCUGAUGCGUUGUUGGGUAGGGGAGCGUUCUGUAAGCCUGCGAAGGUGUGCUGUGAGGCAUGCUGGAGGUAUCAGAAGUGCGAAUGCUGACAUAAGUAACGAUAAAGCGGGUGAAAAGCCCGCUCGCCGGAAGACCAAGGGUUCCUGUCCAACGUUAAUCGGGGCAGGGUGAGUCGACCCCUAAGGCGAGGCCGAAAGGCGUAGUCGAUGGGAAACAGGUUAAUAUUCCUGUGCUUGGUGUUACUGCGAAGGGGGGACGGAGAAGGCUAUGUUGGCCGGGCGACGGUUGUCCCGGUUUAAGCGUGUAGGCUGG
rnacentral:rRNA from 1 species